AUGGUGGCCUUCAGCAGCUUCCUGCUCCCCCCGCCGUCGCCUCCGCUGCCCAGCCCCGCCGCAGCCGCCGCCUCCGCCUCCACCUCCUCGUCCUCGUACCCAGUGGCCACGCACCGCGGCCGCCGCCCGCGGGAACCUCGCUGCCGCUGCGGCCGCUCGCCGGAGAUAACCCCCGCCACCACCACCAGCAGCGGCUCCGGCGACCGCGGCCCGUGCGAAGAGGAGGACGCCUCCGCCCCGCCUCCCCUCCCCGUCGAACUCGACAGCGCCGCCGCCACAUCCGCGGACAGCCUAACCGGAAGUGCGACGCCAAGAUAUCAGGCAACUUCGACUAAAGGGGACACUAGGAAUGGAGAUUUUGAAAAAUGGGAAAACAAUCAACGCGGGACAGAUGGUUUAUCCAGUAGCAAGUCCAAGUCAGCUUACUCCAAAGCAUUUGGGGUGGAUUUGUCCCCUGAUAACGUGGCUGUUGCCACUGUUUAUUUUGUGCAAGGAGUUUUAGGUCUUUCCAGACUAGCUGUCAGCUUUUACUUAAAAGAUGAUCUUCAGCUUGAUCCGGCAGAGACUGCAGUUAUAACUGGUUUCUCAGCUUUGCCGUGGUUGGUCAAGCCUCUUUAUGGUUUUAUCAGUGAUUCCGUCCCCCUCUUUGGAUAUCGAAGAAGGUCAUACCUCAUUCUAUCAGGACUCCUAGGAGCAAUUUCAUGGAGCUUGAUGGCAACAGUUGUGGAUGAUAAGUACAGUGCAGCGCUCUCUAUUAUUCUUGGAUCUCUUGCAGUUGCCUUCUCUGAUGUUGUGGUUGAUUCUAUGGUCGUUGAGAGAGCUCGGGGUGAGUCACAGAGUACAUCUGGAUCUCUCCAGUCACUAUGUUGGGGAUCCUCAGCCUUUGGGGCAAUUGUGAGCGCAUACUUCAGCGGUUCUCUAGUGGAUACUUAUGGUGUAAGAUUUGUUUUUGGUGUUACGGCAUUUUUACCCCUGAUGACAUCUGCUGUUGCAGUUCUUGUAAAUGAACAGCGUUUGUGUUCUGAGGAACGUUCCAUCUCACUUCCAAGUUCAGGAUUGAUUGAAAGCUCUAAGCAGCAGAUCAGGCAGAUUUGGACUGCUGUAAAGCAACCGAACAUUUUCUUGCCUACUUUGUUCAUAUUCCUUUGGCAAGCAACACCACAGUCGGAUUCUGCCAUGUUUUAUUUCGUCACAAACAAGAUUGGAUUCACUCCAGAGUUUCUAGGGCGUGUCACACUCGUUACAUCUGUUGCAUCCUUGCUGGGCGUCGGAAUAUAUAAUUCGUUCCUGAAGGCAGUUCCACUAAGAAAAAUCUUUUUUGUGACAACAAUUUUAGGUUCUGUCCUUGGAAUGACACAGGUUCUGCUUGUCACUGGGCUCAAUAGGAAGCUGGGGAUAAGUGAUGAAUGGUUCUCCAUUGGGGAUUCCUUGAUCCUCACAGUCCUUGGUCAGGCUUCCUUCAUGCCUGUGUUGGUGUUGGCCGCGAGGUUGUGUCCCCUGGGAGUGGAAGCGACGUUGUUCGCCACUCUGAUGUCCAUUUCGAACGCGGGAAGUGUCGCUGGUGGUCUGGUGGGCGCGGGCCUAACCCAGUUUCUGGGUGUCACAAAGGACAACUUCGACAAUCUGGCUCUGCUGAUCGUGAUCUGCAACCUCAGCUCCCUGCUGCCUCUGCCUCUCCUGGGCCUCCUUCCAGAUGGAUCACCGGAUGCUGAUAAUGGGCAAACUAAAGUUGAUUGA
rnacentral:rRNA from 1 species